UUCCUACGGGAGGCAGCAGUGAGGAAUAUUGGUCAAUGGGCGCAAGCCUGAACCAGCCAUGCCGCGUGAAGGAUGACAGCGCUAUGCGUUGUAAACUUCUUUUGUACAGGAAGAAACACUUCUACGUGUAGAAGCUUGACGGUACUGUACGAAUAAGCAUCGGCUAACUCCGUGCCAGCAGCCGCGGUAAUACGGAGGAUGCAAGCGUUAUCCGGAUUUAUUGGGUUUAAAGGGUACGUAGGCGGAAAAUUAAGUCAGUAGUGAAAUCCCGCAGCUUAACUGUGGAACUGUUAUUGAUACUGGUUUUCUUGAAUUUAGUUGAGGUAGGCGGAAUGUGUAAUGUAGCGGUGAAAUGCUUAGAUAUUACACAGAACACCGAUUGCGAAGGCAGCUUACUAAGCUAUGAUUGACGCUGAGGUACGAAAGCGUGGGGAGCGAACAGGAUUAGAUACCCUGGUAGUCCACGCCGUAAACGAUGAUCACUCGUUGUUGGCAAUACAUCGUCAGCGACUGAGCGAAAGCAUUAAGUGAUCCACCUGGGGAGUACGCUCGCAAGAGUGAAACUCAAAGGAAUUGACGGAA
rnacentral:rRNA from 1 species